rnacentral:rRNA from 1 species
AUUGAACGCUGGCGGCAUGCUUUACACAUGCAAGUCGAACGGCAGCGCGGGCUUCGGCCUGGCGGCGAGUGGCGAACGGGUGAGUAAUACAUCGGAACGUGCCCAGUAGUGGGGGAUAGCUCGGCGAAAGCCGGAUUAAUACCGCAUACGACCUGAGGGUGAAAGCGGGGGAUCUUCGGACCUCGCGCUAUUGGAGCGGCCGAUGGCAGAUUAGCUAGUUGGUGGGGUAAAGGCCUACCAAGGCGACGAUCUGUAGCUGGUCUGAGAGGACGACCAGCCACACUGGGACUGAGACACGGCCCAGACUCCUACGGGAGGCAGCAGUGGGGAAUUUUGGACAAUGGGCGAAAGCCAGAUCCAGCAAUGUCGCGUGUGUGAUGAAGGCCUUCGGGUUGUAAAGCACUUUUGGCGGGAACGAAAAGGACUGUGCCAAUACCACGGUUCGAUGACGGUACCCGCAGAAUAAGCACCGGCUAACUACGUG